rnacentral:rRNA from 1 species
CUUCUGGAAUAAGGGCUGGGCAAGACCGGUGCCAGCCGCCGCGGUAACACCGGCAGCUCAAGUGGUAGCCGCUUUUAUUGGGCCUAAAGCGUCCGUAGCCGGUCUGAUAAGUCUCUGGUGAAAUCCCACAGCUUAACUGUGGGAAUUGCUGGAGAUACUAUCAUGACUCGAGGUCGGGAGAGGCUGGAGGUACUCCCAGGGUAGGGGUGAAAUCCUGUAAUCCUGGGAGGACCACCUGUGGCGAAGGCGUCCAGCUGGAACGAACCUGACGGUGAGGGACGAAAGCUAGGGGAGCAAACCGGAU